GCUGGGCAUGGUGACACACACCUGUAGUUCCAGCUACUUUGGAGGGUAUGGUGGGAAGAUCACGUGAGCCCAGGAGUUUUGUAGUGUGCUAUGCAGACUGGGUGUCUACACUAAGUUCAGCAUCAAUAUGGUGACCUCCUGGGAAAGCACAGGACCAACAGGUUGCUUGUUGGAGGAGUGAACCAGCCCAGGUCAGAAAUGGAGCAGACCAAAGCUUCCAUGCAGAUCAGGAGUGGGAUCGCAUCUGUGAACAGCCACUAUACUCUGGCCUGGGCAACACUGCAAGACCCAUCUC
rfam:Otolemur garnettii contig047446, whole genome shotgun sequence.